UGGGUAACCUGCCUCAUACAGGGGGAUAACAGUUGGAAACGACUGCUAAUACCGCAUAAGCGCACAGGGUCGCAUGACCUGGUGCGAAAAACUCCGGUGGUAUGAGAUGGACCCGCGUCUGAUUAGCCAGUUGGUGGGGUAACGGCCUACCAAAGCGACGAUCAGUAGCCGACCUGAGAGGGUGACCGGCCACAUUGGGACUGAGACACGGCCCAAACUCCUACGGGAGGCAGCAGUGGGGAAUAUUGCACAAUGGGGGAAACCCUGAUGCAGCGACGCCGCGUGAGCGAAGAAGUAUUUCGGUAUGUAAAGCUCUAUCAGCAGGGAAGAAGAAAUGACGGUACCUGACUAAGAAGCACCGGCUAAAUACGUGCCAGCAGCCGCGGUAAUACGUAUGGUGCAAGCGUUAUCCGGAUUUGCUGGGUGUAAAGGGAGCGCAGGCGGUACGGCAAGUCUGAUGUGAAAGCCCGGGGCUCAACCCCGGUACUGCAUUGGAAACUGUCGGACUAGAGUGUCGGAGGGGUAAGUGGAAUUCCUAGUGUAGCGGUGAAAUGCGUAGAUAUUAGGAGGAACACCAGUGGCGAAGGCGGCUUACUGGACGAUUACUGACGCUGAGGCUCGAAAGCGUGGGGAGCAAACAGGAUUAGAUACCCUGGUAGUCC
rnacentral:rRNA from 1 species